UAACCUGCCCAAGAGAUCGGGAUAACACCUGGAAACAGAUGCUAAUACCGGAUAACAACAGAUGAUGCCUAUCAACUGUUUAAAAGAUGGUUCUGCUAUCACUCUUGGAUGGACCUGCGGUGCAUUAGCUAGUUGGUAGGGUAACGGCUACCAAGGCGAUGAUGCAUAGCCGAGUUGAGAGACUGAUCGGCCACAUUGGGACUGAGACACGGCCCAAACUCUACGGGAGGCAGCAGGC
rnacentral:rRNA from 1 species